AGCCGGGGAAUUAGCGGAGCCUUGUACCUACAAUCCGCUUUAGUAGGGGUGAUAUUCUAUUGAGGAUUAAUUUUUGUGAGAACGCCCCGAAGGAAUGGAUGUUGAUGCUUAGGUCCUUUGCAGCUAAUCUCUUCGAAUCGUGUCAGGGCAGGAAUGCAGCAGCACUAAGACGUUGUAUUAGUGUGACGAAGAUAAAUUUAAGCUGAGUUUAUUCUUUCGGGAAACACUUGGGGAAAUUUCUUCG
rnacentral:SRP_RNA from 1 species